rnacentral:lncRNA from 1 species
UUUACUACCUCAUCAAGAACAUUUUGAGGUGCUGGUUGAGCUUGACUUCUUUGGUAGUUCUGAUGGUUGUUGGCUCUCCCAUAGCUGAAAUUGGGGUGGUCUCUCUAGCCUGGAUUGUAUGUGUUGGAAUAUGGAUCAUGUAUAGGCUGGUUGUUGUACCCUCCAAUGGCAUUUGCUUGCUGAUGGUCUUCUUGGAGUGUAGGACAUUGAUCAGUUGGAUGUCCCACAUAUGAACAGAUACCACAUGGCCUAGGUGGCUGGGUUGCUUGAAUCUGUUGAACCAGUCCUAUGGCAAAAUCUUUCAUCACAGAUGUUAGUUCAGAAAUAGUGGAUGAACUUACCUCAUUGGCUCUUUGCAGUUGCUUUUCUUCUCCAUAUUGCCUAGAUGAGGCUGCAAGGGUAGAUAUCAACUCUCUCAUCUCCCUCGGUGUCUUGUCUAUAAUGGAUCCUCCACAAGCUACAUUUAUGAAUUUUCUUUCUGAUGGGAGCAAUCCUCCAUAGAAGAACUAUAUGAGGGCCUUGUCUGACAUAUCGUGUUGUGGACAACCUGUAUAUAGUCUUUCAAACCUUUCCCAAUAAUCAUAUAAGUCCUCAGUUUGUUUCUGUCUUAUGCUAGUGAUUUCUCUUAUUAUGCCAAUUGAUUUAGAUGGUGGGAAGUAUUUGUCCAAAAAAGUUUGGACCAUAUCAUCCCAAGAAGUGAUAGAUCCAGGUGGCAAAUAAAAUAACCAAUCCUUAGCAUAGUCAUCUAAUGAAAAGGGAAAAGCUCUUAACUUAACAUGAUCUUCAGAGAUACCUUGAGGUCUCAUGGAUGAACAAACAAUAGUGAAUUCUUUCAAGUGCUUGUGUGGAUUUUCA